UUGCAUUUUAAAAUACACAAGAAGAGCAUUGAUUUCUUUUUUGGAAAGGGGGGUGGGGUAAUUAAAUUUUGAAUAAUGAAAGUAAGAUUUUAAUUAAAGUAUGGUUCUGUAUUUGAACCUGAAGGAAAUUCGAAAUAAAGUUAAAUGAUGUCAUAUUAUUUCAUUAUUUUAAAUUAAGCAAGUCCACAAACAAAAUUUAAAAAUAAAGCCGAAUGUUCUGUAGAAAAAAGCAGUCACUCUCAGGCUGAAGCACCUAUUCAAGCUUUAUGUAAUAAGUUACCUCCUAGUCUUAAAUGAUUCUAUUUUUAUUUUGCCUCGUGAUCUUUUUUUUUCAUUUGCUUAUCAACAAUUUUUUUUUGUUGGUAGCCUCGUUCAACCUGAAACUGAUAAUGUGGUGUUUGGUUGUACUACAUGUAACCCCCCCCCCCCCCCCCCUACGUAUUGGGCAGGCCUAUACUCUCCACUCCUACACUGUACACGAAAAGUUUAUAUUUCAAGGUGUUAGAAAUUCAUUUUUUCAUAGCAUUAUGAUAUUUUGAAUAUAUAGUGAUUUGUUAAGUAUUUUUAUCCAAUCAACAAAUCAUUUUCUCAGCCUAUAGCAUGUAGUUCCCUGCAUUAUUUUCAGCAAUUCAGUGACAAUCGUUUGAGGUUUAACCCAUCCCCCCCCCCCCCAUUCCCCACGAAAUGAAACUGAAAAUGUUUGGGUUUGCCCCCCCCCCCCCUUUAUCUAAAAUUUAUUCCUACAUCAGUUUAGGCAUAUGCUUGCGGGGUGCCCCUUUCUGAAGAUGUGACAGGGAGUGAAACAAUAAAUUGUUUGGACGUACAUUUUUGUAUUAUAUGCAUUUUUUAAUGGAUAUAGAAUUAAAUUACAACCAUUUAUGGUUAUUUUAAAAACAAUUCAAAAUUAUUAAUUUCUUAUUUUAUUUUAUUUUGUUGUGGUACAAGUACCCUUUUUCUAUAAAUAUCAUCGGGCUCGAAGUGCCAAGUUUUUAUAACUACAUCCACUAAACACAUGUUGAUGUUGUGCCAGACUCCUCUCCGGUCCUUCUUUGUUGUGUGUAACCAGGUUUGUGGGUAAUAAAUACUGUUACUUCUUGGAGAUAGUAUUGUUUUAAUCGUCUCACGACAUCUGGAAUCGCCCGGACACGGAUCUACCGUUUGUUUUUGUUUUUAUGUCGGUUGAUUUCACCCGACUUUUCCCACACGUGUUUUGUCAACAUUGAUUGAUAAAUUGUGAUUCGUGUGCAUUCAUUUUAUUGACAGAGAACCAGAAUGUUGGAUUGCAGGGAAGAACGAAGAGCCUCGAAACAACUUUGAGGGUCUAUGAUAGAAUUUUGUGGACCCCAGUGGAAAAAGAGGAAAUCUUAACUCCAGGGUCAACAUGUUUUUGUUCCAAGAAAGGGGUGUAUGCCAGAAUGUUUUGAAGAACAGUCUGAAUCUAACAUGGAAUAAAUGAGGAAAAACAGCCUUCCUGCUUACAAAUCUAUAUUCUGACAAAGGGGGUGUAUGCCAGAUUCUUUCGAAGAACAGUCUGAAUUUAACAUGGAAAAAAUGAGGAAAAACAGCCUUCCUGCUUAUCUAUAUUCUGACAAAGGAGCAGAACAACACUUAGAGAUAACUUUACUUGGUGCCUGUCUGUCCGUCUGUCACACUUUACAUCUCCAGAACUGUAAGAGGUAAGAGAGAAAUUCAGAAAUUCUAAAAUUGCCCAAGGAGUUCGUGGAUUGCAUCAUACUGCUUACAGACCUUGACAAAAGACAGUGUCUUGAAAAAAAACUGAAAAUAUUCAGUGAAAAAUAUUGAUGAGAGAAAGAUCCACUAGAAAUCUUGAAGCCUUUGAGCUGAAAUCUGGACUUAACUGGUAUGUCUUACUAGGUCAUCAGUCAUGUAUAAUAAAUACAAUAAACACUUUAGUACAAUCUUUAAAUAUAUAAUUUGUAGCUCGCAUACUUCAAUUAUUUCAUGACAUUUAAGUAAGAAUGAGAAAUUCCUAGCUAGAUUAAAAACUAUUAUAGACCAAAUUUGAUAUUGUGAAAUAAUUCAUCUAGAAAAUCAGAUAUGAGUACAUGUGUGUAAACUUGCAUGUAAAUUAAUUGUUAAAUAAGUUCAAUUUAUCAUUAAGUUGCAAGUUAACUAAUUGUAGUGCAUCUUUAAUGUAAAAGUAUGGAUGAAAACCAUUUGAUUUUUGUACCUUUGAAUGUAUUAUUCAAUUUGUAUAAGCUCUUUUGAUAAAUUGUUUGAUAUUUUAUAAAAGUUUUUAGUACAUGCAAUCACUAGAUGUGUCAUAAUUUUGAUUUGAUUACUAUUCUGUUUUUAAGAAGUAAAAAAGUAAAAAGUACCAUGUAGCUUAUUCUAGUUUAGUGGCACAUCGGACUGGUAUAUCAUGUAUAUUGAACUGUCAAUGAAAUAAAAGUCUAAAUAGUCAAAUAUGCACUAUCUUGUAGUUUGGUAUGGUAUUAAAUGUUAAACAACUACUUUUUUUUAAUAAGCAAAGGAUAUGCUUAUGUGACUGUAUUUUCAUAUGCGGUGAAAAUAAAAUAAUUUUAAGCAUU